UCUCUAAAGAACAGUCCUUGUAAGCAUAUGGCUGCCAUUGAUUUGAGUUCCCCACAGAACCCAUUUUCCUCUGCCACUAGCAGAUCUUGCAGGAUCUCGGGUGAAGAAAAAGAAAGCAGAAUUGAGGGACUUGGAUGCAAAGGGAAGGAAAGUGGGAGGAGGUAGGAAACUGUUGUAUCACUCAUUAACACUUGUCCUUUCCCUUUACUUUUGGCUUUUCAAUUCUUCUCCUUCAGAAACAUGUCUUGAACAAAGAAAUUGUGUCAUUAUUAGUUUGUUGUCUAAGUCCCUUGGGUUUGAUAAACAAGCUAAAUGAGCUCUAAGGAACAAAAAAAGAGCUCACUAAAAUAAAGGCAAGAGAUUCACAUUUCA